UACGGGGCAAGGACAGUGUUCGGUCGAUUUACUGGGCGUAAAGGGCGCGUAGGCGGCGUGUUAAGUCACUUGUGAAAUCUCUAAGCUUAACUUAGAACGGUCAAGUGAUACUGACGUGUUAGAGUGCAGAAGGGGCAACCGGAAUUCUUGGUGUAGCGGUGAAAUGCGUAGAUAUCAAGAGGAACACCUGCGGCGAAGGCGGGUAGCUGGGCCGACACUGACGCUGAUGCGCGAAAGCCAGGGGAGCGAACGGG
rnacentral:rRNA from 1 species